CCUACGGGAGGCAGCAGUGAGGAAUAUUGGUCAAUGGGCGCGAGCCUGAACCAGCCAAGUCGCGUGCAGGAUGACUGCCCUAUGGGUUGUAAACUUCUUUUAUAAAGGAAUAAAGUGAGGCACGUGUGCCUUUUUGUAUGUACUUUAUGAAUAAGGAUCGGCUAACUCCGUGCCAGCAGCCGCGGUAAUACGGAGGAUCCGAGCGUUAUCCGGAUUUAUUGGGUUUAAAGGGAGCGUAGAUGGGUUGUUAAGUCAGUGGUGAAAGUUUGCGGCUCAACCGUAAAAUUGCAAUUGAUACUGGCAGUCUAGAGUACAGAUGAGGUAGGCGGAAUGCGUGGUGUAGCGGUGAAAUGCUUAGAUAUCACGAAGAACUCCGAUUGCGAAGGCAGCUUACUAAACUGCCACUGACAUUGAUGCUCGAAAGUGUGGGGAUCAAACAGGAUUAGAUACCCCUGUAGUC
rnacentral:rRNA from 1 species